rnacentral:rRNA from 1 species
UACGGAGGGAGCUAGCGUUGUUCGGAAUUACUGGGCGUAAAGCGCACGUAGGCGGCUUUGUAAGUUAGAGGUGAAAGCCUGGGGCUCAACCCCAGAAUUGCCUUUAAGACUGCAUCGCUUGAAUCCAGGAGAGGUGAGUGGAAUUCCGAGUGUAGAGGUGAAAUUCGUAGAUAUUCGGAAGAACACCAGUGGCGAAGGCGGCUCACUGGACUGGUAUUGACGGCUGAGGCACGAAAAGCGUGGGGGAGCAAACAGG